GUGCUCUGUACAGGUAGGGGGCUAGGGUUCCACCUGUAGUGCUUAUACCCAUAUAGGGAGCCCCAUAGUCAGAGCCCAGGGAGUUAACCCUUCCCAUUCAGCCAUCAUAGUGAUUGGGACUAGUGCAGCCGGCCUGAGCUGUUGCUAGGGGAGGAAUCCCUGUAGGACCUCAGGCCAGCAUGUACACUGGAUCUGGAUUUGGGAUUACCCAGCAGCCUCUGUGCUGCAGUGGAUCCUCAGGGUCCCAGGAAGCCUUUCUCCAGCAUCUCAAGGCGAGGAUUAAAGCUGCCAGACUGCUGCCCUGCCCGGCUCUGUUCCACAGGAUUUAUUCCUCUCUCGCUGGCACCGGGAGUUGGAAACAUUGCUGUGUUAAUGUAAGGCAUGAUGAUCCAUCCUAACCAGCAGUCCCAGUGCAACUGGUUUGCAUGAGAGAGACAAGAAGAAAUGGCGAGGUAGGAUCCUAAACUAAGGCUUCCGCAGCUAAAACUGCACUAAAGGUGCCCAUACACGGUAAGAUUUGCCCGAGCAACGAGAAAAUCUUCUUCCCAAUAUGCCUACCUUGGGUGAGCGAUAUCAUGCUAAUGCAAUUGUUUGACCCUAGGGCUAGGAAUAAAAAUAGGACAAGCUGGAGCGAGGACCAUGAAAAUCAAGCCUGUCCUAUUGACAUCUUGCCAGAUAAGCUACCAAGUUGCUCUUAAGGACUGAUAUAAGCAGCCUAGAUCUGCCCGUGUAUGGCCACCUUAAGAGUCAAGUGGAUGACUGCAACAUGUUAACAAAACCAGUGGAACAUUUGUGUGGAACUCACCUCAUGAGCUGUAAUUAUGAAGAGGACAUGAAAGUAUUCCUCCACAGUCUGCAGCCAACAUUGGCCGUGGGGCUGUGGUUAAUGGUGGGCCGGCAACAUUGACUUUGCAAACUCUCAUCAUUCAUUUGAAUUUGGGCUCUUUGUCUGUGAACCUUGGUCUGUUGUUGAAGUACGAAUGUUUUGAAGAGCUGAAGAUAGCCCAAGCCAAGUCUUCAAUGCCUAUUGUAGUUAUUAACACUCCUCAAACGUUUGAAAUAAAUAUUAAAAUGAAUGUAAA